rnacentral:lncRNA from 10 species
GAGACAGGGUCUCGCUCUGUCGCCCAGGCUGGAGUGCACUGGUGCAAUCUCAGCUCACUGCAACCCCUACCUCCUGGGCUUCCACCUCCCAGCUUCCACCUCUCAAGUAGCUAGGACUACAGGCACAUGCCACCAUGCCCAGCUAAUUGUUCUAUUUUUUUGUAGAGAUGAGGUUUCACCAUGUUGCCCAGGCUGGUCUCAAACUCCUGAGCUCAAGCAAUCCACCCGCCUUGGUCUCCCAAAGUGCUAAGAUUACAGACGUGAACCAAGGUGCCCAGCCUACUUUACCAUUUUAAAGUUGAGAGAUUGAGUUGUAACUCGACCGACCAGCUGUAUUAACCACACCCUCCCUCCCUUCUUCGCAUUACAACACAAUGAAACAACAGAAGCACUCAAUCAGGGAGUAAUUCUACAAAAUGUAUGGCAAGCCUGAGAGAAGCUCAACUUCCCAGUGUUGGGAUCCAUCUGGAUCUCAAUUCUCCAGCACACAUUUGGUUCUUUUCCCAAGGCUCUAGAGCCUAUUCUCCGGCUUUCCUUAGAGGCUCCUUU